AUAAGAGCGGAUGGUGGAUGCCUUGGCUCUGAAAGACGAUGAAGGACGUGAUAAGCUGCGAUAAGUUGUGGUGAUUAGCUAAGAAAAAAUGAUCCACAAAUUUCCGAAUGAGGGAACUCGCUGAAUAUGAAAAUUCAGCCUAAUUUUGAGGUAAACCUGGAGAACUGAAACAUCUAAGUAACCAGAGGAAAAGAAAACAAAAGUGAUUCUGUAAGUAGCGGCGAGCGAAACCAGAAAAGCCCAAACUAUUAUUUGCUAUAAUGGGGUUAUAGGACUAUAAGAUUGAUUAAUUAUUAUAUAAUAGAAUAUUUUGGAAUAAAUAUCCAUAGAAGGUGAAAGACCUGUAUAUGAAAUAUAAUACUAACAUAGUAGGAUCCUGAGUAAAACGGGACACGUGAAAUCCUGUUUGAAUUUACCAGGACCAUCUGGUAAGGCUAAAUACUUGUCAGAGACCGAUAGUGGACUAGUACCGUGAGGGAAAGGUGAAAAGAACUUCGAAGAGAAGAGUGAAAGAGAUCCUGAAACCAUCCGCUUACAAGCAGUCGAAGCUUUUUUAUAAAGUAACGUCGUGCCUUUUGCAUAAUGAACCUACGAGUUAAUUAUUCCGGCAAGGUUAAAUAAUUAAGUUAUGGAGCCGUAGCGAAAGCGAGUAUUAAAUAUGCGAUGAGUCGGUAUAAUUAGACGCGAAACCGAGUGAUCUACCCAUGGGCAGGUUGAAGCUAUGGUAAAACAUAGUGGAGGACCGAACUGGUAAACGUUGAAAAGUUUUCGGAUGACCUGUGGGUAGGAGUGAAAGGCUAAUCAAACUCGGAGAUAGCUCGUACUCCCCGAAAUGCAUUUAGGUGCAGCAUUGUGUAAAAAUAUUACAGAGGUAGAGCUACUGAUUAGAUGAGGGGACUUCAUCGUCUACUAAUUCUUGACAAACUCCGAAUGCUGGAAUAUGUUACACAAUAGUGAGGGCCUGGGUGCUAAGGUCCAGGUCCGAGAGGGAAAAAACCCAGACCAACAGCUAAGGCCCCAAAGUAUAGACUAAGUUGAAUAAACGAAGUUCAUUGACGAUGAUAGCUAGGAUGUUAGCUUGGAAGCAGCUAUUCAUUUAAAGAGUGCGUAACAGCUCACUAGUUUAGUGAUUGAGCAUGGAUAAUAAUCGGGCAUAAGUAUAUCGCCGAAGCUAUGGGAUUUUAAAAUCGGUAGGGGAGCAUUGUAAUGACAGAGAAGUUAUAUUGAAAAAUAUAGUGGAGUGAUUACAAAAGAAAAUGUAGGUAUAAGUAACGAUAAUGCAGGUGAGAAACCUGCACACCGAAAGACUAAGGUUUCCUCAGCUAUGUUAAUCAACUGAGGGUUAUUCGGAACCUAAGGUGAAACCGAAAGGUGUAAUUGAUGGAUUACUAUUUAAUAUUAUAGUAUAUAUUUAAUAUUAUUGUCAUGAGGUGACGAAGUGAUGAAAUUGUUGCGUGCUGACGGCAAUGCGCGUUAAAUUGGUUAGGUAGAUUAUAUAUAGGAAAAUCCGUAUAUAUUAACUAAACUGAAAGAGUACCAGAACUUUUAAAAACAAAAGUGAACUGGAAAGUAGAACUAAUAGCUUCCAAGAAAACCCUCUAAACAAUUUGAAUAUUAAAUAUUCCGUACCAAAACCGACACAGGUAGUUGGGGUGAAGAUCCUAAGGUGCUCGAGUGAAUCACGGCUAAGGAACUAGGCAAAAUAAACCUGUAACUUAGGGAAAAAGGUUGCCCUAAAUUUUUAAUUUUUAAAUUAAAUUUUUUAAAUUUUGAAAAUUAUAGGGCCGCAGUAAAAAGGUCCAGGCGACUGUUUAUCAAAAACACAGGGCUCUGCUAAAUUGAAAGAUGAUGUAUAGGGUCUGACACCUGCCCGGUGCUGGAAGGUUAAGGAAGGAGGUUAACAGAUUUGUAAAGCCUUUAACUGAAGCCCCAGUAAACGGCGGCCGUAACUAUAACGGUCCUAAGGUAGCGAAAUUCCUUGUCGGGUAAGUUCCGACCUGCACGAAUGGUGUAACGAUCUGGACACUGUCUCGGCCGUAAGCUCGGUGAAAUUGUAGUAUCGGUGAAGAUGCCGAUUUCUCGCAAUGGGACGAAAAGACCCUGUGAACCUUUACUAUAGCUUCGUAUUGAUUUUGAUUACUUAAUGUGUAGGAUAGGUGGUAGACUUUGAAACAUUAUCGCUAGAUAGUGUGGAGUCAUCCUUGAAAUACCACCCUUUAUUUAAUUGUAAUCUAACUUAAAAAAGAAUAAGGACAUUGCGUGGUGGGUAGUUUGACUGGGGUGGUCGCCUCCAAAAAAGUAACGGAGGCUUCCAAAGGUGCCCUCAACACGUUUGGUAAUCGUGUAUAGAGUGUAAUGGCAUAAGGGCGCUUGACUGUAAGACUUACAAGUCGAACAGAUACGAAAGUAGGGCAUAGUGAUCCGGUGGUUCUGUAUGGAAAGGCCAUCGCUCAAAGGAUAAAAGGUACUCCGGGGAUAACAGGCUAGUCUCCCCCAAGAGCUCACAUCGACGGGGAGGUUCGGCACCUCGAUGUCGGCUCGUCACAUCCUGGGGCUGAAGAAGGUCCCAAGGGUUGGGCUGUUCGCCCAUGAAAGUGGCACGCGAGCUGGGUUCAGAACGUCGUGAGACAGUUCGGUCUCUAUCUAUUGCGAGCGUUAGAAGCUUGAGUGGAUCUAACUCUAGUACGAGAGGACCGGGUUGGACGAACCUAUGGUAUAUCAGUUGUAUCGCCAGGUGCAUUGCUGAGUAGCUAUGUUCGGAUAAGAUAAGCACUGAAAGCAUAUAAGUGCGAAACGAACCACAAGAUUAGGCUUCUUUUAAGGGUCGUUGAAGAUGACAACGUUGAUAGGCUAUAAGUGUAAAGAUAGUAAUAUCAGAGCUGAGUAGUACUAAUUCCCCGUAAGCUUAUAAAG
rnacentral:rRNA from 1 species